GAGCGCAGCCUUCGCAGGAUGCCAGGGCUGUGGAGGAGUGUGUCGCCAGCGCUGUUCUUUAGACUUGAAGGCUGGAGGGGGGUAACCAGGGCUUUUCUGAGGUUUCAGUGUACAAGGAUGAAAUAGGGAUGGAGUUCCAGCCACGAACUUUCAGCAGGUUAGAAGAGGCAGAGAGACAGCACAGCCUGGGGACGUGCAGGUGUGAAGGUGCGUGUGCGCAGGAGUGACCCUGUACACACCGAUACAAGGAGCAAACAGAGAAAGGAGUCCAGGAGAAGAAAAGAAAAGGAGUCUGUCUCCACCACGGACAUGGAUAAGGCCUCCUCCCUGCAGAUACCUCGGAUGCCACCAGGUCCGGGCUGCACUUGUCUUUGACUUUCCUAAUACGUUGACUCAGCUGAAAGAGAUACUGACAACAGCAGCACGAGUCACUGGCAGCCUCCCUGGGCAAUCGUGGUCAUAAAAUGCACAUCAAUCAUUAUAUUCAGACUGGAGCAUCAAGGUCUGCCUUCAAGGUCACACACACCAUGAGCAUGUCCAUUUUGGAAAUAGUGUGAUAUAUUUCCAAUUUCCCUGCUCACCUUUUUACAGGAAUGACCAUCCUGUGGCUACAACUCUCAAGACUGUUGCUUCAGCGAAACCAACAUGGAACUGCAGCCUGUGCUUGGGUAGAUUCUCAUCUGUCUGGCCUGUUCUGCCUGAAGGUGAAAGGAGGGGGCGAGGGUGGGGUCCCAGAGAGAAGAGGCCCCAAGAGACUGAGGCCCUAGGCUCUGCCUGCUGCCAGUGUCCCACCUGGGAAACCUCCACAGAC